CGGCUUGAUAAAUCGCGCGGCCGCCGCCAUAUAGGGGGUGCCGGGCUCGCCCGGCUAUGGUGAUAAAUCGUGUCGUAUAAUAGACGCAGCGGACCCGGGGGCAGUACCCGGCGGUUCCACCACAUGUCCCGGAUGGCCUUUGGUCUGGCGGGGUGUCUGAUGGGGCCGAACUAGGAUCGACGUGUGUUCAAAGGCGAUGCUUUUACCCGGCCCGUGUAAGCCGUUAACAUUACUCUAAAAUAGCGCGGUUGAACCCACCGGGCAACAGAAGGGAAUUCAGCGGCCCCCGGAGGCGCCGGGCAACAGAAGCCUCCGGACC
rnacentral:tmRNA from 1 species